GUGAAUCAUCGAAUUUUUGAACGCAAAUUGCACUCUCCUCGGAGAGUAUGCCUGUUUGAGGGUCAGCCUAUAAAAAAUCGACAUAGUUGCUGUUUCGCGGUGACGUUCGUCGGAAAUUAGGUAAUCUUAAAUCCUGUUGGUUUUAAGUGAAUUAAAAUUUUCUUUUUGGUUGCUUGAACGUUUCUAAGAUUUAUUUUGUUACACGUUUAAGGGUAUCGAUUUUUAUUAGACGUGAAUAUCAUAUCAGACCGCGUCCAUAACCUU
rnacentral:misc_RNA from 1 species